CCGCAAAUAUAUUCGAGCGCCGGCAGAAGUUCUGCUCGUUGAUGACGUACCGUUAUCGUAUGUGCUACACUACGUCUGACGCAUGAUACUAGCGCGUAUGUAGCUGUGUUAAAGGUACUGAUCGGGACCAAUGAGGCAUAGACUACAUCGUGCUUCACCCUUUAACCCAAUAGCGAUAGCCUUAAAAGGCGAAGCCUUUUAAGGCUAUCUGUCGCUGUCAAUGCUACAAACGCCGAGUACAGUGAACGAAGGAAUUAGCGUAUUCAAUUAAAAAGAUAUGGCCACGUUUGGAGGGCUUAGCGAUGCAUCUGCUUUUGACGACGAUAAUGAGGAAUUUGUUGUAUCCAACGAACCGUACAUGUACGAGCCGGAAUACACGGAUGAAGAACUGAGAGAGAUGGAUGCUCAAAGGGCAGAACGAGAAAGAGCGUCUUUAGAGACCGUCCCCGCUGGAGCUGCAGUAGAGAACCGGGACAGAACAACGGGAGACUGGUGGUGCCAGUGCAGAAAUUGUAUUCAAAUGCCGACAGGGGACGAAUGCUUUUGCUGCAGGGAGUGGGACUUAGUCAUUCCACAGAUGCAAGAGCUGGAGCUGGACACUAGCAUUCAGGAUCUCGAUGUGUCUGGGCAUAGCGCCCCCCGAGACAGGGCAAUCUGCAUUACGGAGCACCAGGACUUUCUACCCCUUCUAAAUCGAGGAGUGCUGGAAACAUUCUUCUCCUUUGAUAAAAUAAAUUAGAAAAGAAGACCCAGACCUGCUGGACCCAACGGCCAGUUGUCAAUGUUGCAGUACCGAUUGGUGGCUUACAGAAUCGUUCUUGAGUGGGGGUUGAAAGGAACACAGCUGGGAAGAGAAAACCGACGUGUUCUUCCAUCCUGUGUAGUGACCAGCAUCCGAAACAAAUACCCUUCGGCCGCUGGACAAUAUGUUGGAUUCAGGGAAGCACAAGAUGCUCUGAGAUUGUUUUGAACACAACACUACUGUAGUCUACUAGAAAACAUUUGCUACUUCAACAAAUCCUUUAUAUCAAACACAAAAAGAAGACAUACAUUUGGUUACAGAUGACAUUACGAUUGUUUACGGUAACAUUUUAACAACAAUGUACGCGUAUAUGGUUCAAUAAAUGUUUUGCUGUUGA